rnacentral:rRNA from 1 species
UACGUAGGGCGCAAGCGUUAUCCGGAAUUAUUGGGCGUAAAGAGCUCGUAGGCGGUUUGUCGCGUCUGCCGUGAAAGUCCGGGGCUCAACUCCGGAUCUGCGGUGGGUACGGGCAGACUAGAGUGUGGUAGGGGAGACUGGAAUUCCUGGUGUAGCGGUGAAAUGCGCAGAUAUCAGGAAGAACACCCGUGGCGAAGGCGGCUCUCUGGGACGGUACUGACGCUGAGACGCGAAAGCGUGGGGAGCGAACAGG